rnacentral:rRNA from 1 species
UACGAAGGGGGCUAGCGUUGCUCGGAAUUACUGGGCGUAAAGGGCGCGUAGGCGGAUAGUUUAGUCAGAGGUGAAAGCCCAGGGCUCAACCUUGGAACUGCCUUUGAUACUGGCUAUCUUGAGUUCGGGAGAGGUGAGUGGAAUGCCGAGUGUAGAGGUGAAAUUCGUAGAUAUUCGGCGGAACACCAGUGGCGAAGGCGACUCACUGGCCCGAUACUGACGCUGAGGCGCGAAAGCGUGGGGAGCAAGCAGG